GUGGACAGUAAAUGUUUUUAUUAUUGAUAAAUAAGUUUGUUAUAAAUUAUACUCCAUUGGUCAUUUUUGUUUUAUACCAACUUUUACUUCUGUGACAGUGAGAUAGUGUGAUGUCUUUACUGGGCUAGUGUAGCUCAUUCCUUACGUAACCAUUUCAGAUCAGGAAGACUUGGUUCCCGAGCCCGUCUCGCAGGAAGACGGCGAGUAUCUGUCUAAA
rnacentral:lncRNA from 1 species